rnacentral:rRNA from 1 species
AAAACGACUCUCGGCAACGGAUAUCUCGGCUYUCGCAUCGAUGAAGAACGUAGCGAAAUGCGAUACUUGGUGUGAAUUGCAGAAUCCCGUGAACCAUCGAGUCUUUGAACGCAAGUUGCGCCCAAAGCCUUUUGGUUGAGGGCACGUCUGCCUGGGUGUCACAC